rnacentral:pre_miRNA from 1 species
GGGGGGAGCUCCGGAUCUUGGGCUGUGUCCCCGGCGCUGAGCUCCCGGGCCUGCGCUGUUGGAUUCACGCUCCCGGCUGUGCAGCCCCCU